CCUACGGGUGGCUGCAGUGAGGAAUAUUGGUCAAUGGACGAGAGUCUGAACCAGCCAAGUAGCGUGAAGGAUGACUGCCCUAUGGGUUGUAAACUUCUUUUAUAUGGGAAUAAAAUGUUCCACGUGUGGGAUUUUGUAUGUACCCUAUGAAUAAGGAUCGGCUAACUCCGUGCCAGCAGCCGCGGUAAUACGGAGGAUCCGAGCGUUAUCCGGAUUUAUUGGGUUUAAAGGGAGCGUAGGUUGUUUUUUAAGUCAGUUGUGAAAGUUUGCGGCUCAACCGUAAAAUUGCAGUUGAAACUGGCAGUCUUGAGUACAGUAGAGGUAGGCGGAAGGCGUGGUGUAGCGGUGAAAUGCUUAGAUAUCACGAAGAACUCCGAUUGCGAAGGCAGUUCACUGAACUACAACUGACACUGAGGCACGAAAGUGUGGGUAUCAAACAGGAUUAGAUACCCCUGUAGUC
rnacentral:rRNA from 1 species